rnacentral:rRNA from 1 species
UGACUGACUGAGUGCCAGCAGCCGCGGUGAAUACGUUCCCGGGCCUUGUACACACCGCCCGUCACACCAUGAGAGUCUGUAACACCCAAAGCCGGUGGGAUAACCUUUAUAGGAGUCAGCCGUCUAAGGUAGGACAGAUGAUUAGGGUGAAGUCGUAACAAGGUAGCCUCAGUCAGUCA